UACGUAGGGAGCAAGCGUUGUCCGGAAUCAUUGGGCGUAAAGCGCGCGUAGGUGGCUUCGUAAGUCCGUUGUGAAAGCCAAAGGCUCAACCUUUGAAUGCCGAUGGAUACUGCGGAGCUAGAGUACGGAAGAGGCGAGUGGAAUUCCUGGUGUAGCGGUGGAAUGCGCAGAUAUCAGGAGGAACACCAAUAGCGAAGGCAGCUCGCUGGGACGUUACUGACACUAAGGCGCGAAAGCGUGGGGAGCGAACAGG
rnacentral:rRNA from 1 species